UUGUUUCUCGCUUACUCUAUUUGGAAGUGCCUAAUGUGUCUUCCCAUAGUCCCUUCAAGUGGUUAACAUGAGAGGAAGCUACAAAUCCAUUUGUCACUCAACAAAAAAAAAUUUCGUGUUUUUGCAGUGUUCUGCUUUUGAUAAAUCAUGGAUAGUGUGCCAGCUAUGUGAUAAAAUUAUCCAAAAAACACAUUUACUAUUUCCGAACAAAGCAAAGUAAGUUAUUAUAGUAAUAGUAAAUUAAACUUGAGAAUAGAAUGAUCAUUUUAUUUCAAUUGUAUUUUAUUGAACCAAAAACUACUUAGGAGUUGGAUCCUACUAAAUUUUUGUUCCAUAAUGUAUUUUUUCAUUUUUCCCUUA